rnacentral:rRNA from 1 species
GUGGAUAGGGGUGAAAGGCUAAACAAAUCUGGAGAUAGCUGGUUCUCCCCGAAAACUAUUGAGGUAGUGCCUCGUGUAUGGCUCCAGGGGGUAGAGCACUGUUAUGGCUAGGGGGACAUGGCGUCUUACCAAACCAUGGCAAACUCCGAAUACUUGGAAGUCUGAGCACGGGAGACAGAGCACCGGGUGCUAACGUCCGGACUCAAAAGGGAAACAACCCAGACCGCCGGCUAAGGUCCCUAAUAUUGACUAAGUGGAAAACGAAGUGGGAAGGCUAAGACAGUCAGGAAGUUGGCUUAGAAGCAGCCAUCCUUCAAAGAAAGCGUAAUAGCUCACUGAUCGAGUCUUCCUGCGCGGAAGAUGUAACGGGGCUAAGUCAAUAACCGAAGCCGCGGAUUCGCAGCAAUGCGAGUGGUAGGGGAGCGUUCUGUAAGCCUGCGAAGGCGGAUCUGCGAGGACCGCUGGAGGUAUCAGAAGUGCGAAUGCUGACAUGAGUAACGUUAAAGCGGGUGAAAAGCCCGCUCGCCGCAAGCCCAAGGUUUCCUGCUCUACGUUCAUCGGAGCAGGGUGAGUCGGCCCCUAAGGUCAGGCUGAGAAGCGUAGCUGAUGGGAAGCUGGUUAAUAUUCCAGCACCGAUUUCAAGUGCGAAGGGGGGACGGAGUCCUGAAGGUCAUCCGGGUGUUGGACAUCCCGGUUUACGAGCGUAGGAGGUUGACAGGCAAAUCCGUCAACGAAUCUCCAAGGCGAAGGAUCGAGGUUGAGAGAUCAACUGAAGUGACUGAAUGGGCUUCCAGGAAAAGCCUCUAAGCAUCAGCUUGGAAUUGACCGUACCGCAAACCGACACUGGUGGGCGAGCUGAAUAUGCUCAGGCGCUUGAGAGAACUCAGGAGAAGGAACUCGGCAAAUUGACACCGUAACUUCGGGAUAAGGUGUGCCUUUGUAGUGUGAAGAGAGAAACACUCCGAGCAUGAAGAGGCCUCAGAGAAUCGGUGGCUGCAACUGUUUACUAAAAACACAGCACUCUGCAAAGAUGAAAGUCGACGUAUAGGGUGUGAUGCCUGCCCGGUGCUGGAAGAUUAAUUGAUGGGGUGCAAGCUCCUGAUCGAAGUCCCAGUAAACGGCGGCCGUAACUAUAACGGUCCUAAGGUAGCGAAAUUCCUUGUCGGGCAAGUUCCGACCUGCACGAAUGGCAUAAUGAUGGCCACACUGUCUCCUCCUGAGACUCAGUGAAGUUGAAAUGUUUGUGAUGAUGCAAUCUCCCCGCGGCUAGACGGAAAGACCCCAUGAACCUUUACUGCAGCUUUGCAUUGGACUUUGAACCGAUCUGUGUAGGAUAGGUGGGAGGCAGUGAAGCUAGGACGCCAGUCUUAGCGGAGCCAACCUUGAAAUACCACCCUGAUUUGUUUGAGGUUCUAACCUAGGAGCGUGAUCCGCUUCGGGGACCGUGCAUGGUAGGCAGUUUGACUGGGGCGGUCUCCUCCUAAAGGGUAACGGAGGAGUGCGAAGGUACGCUAGGUACGGUCGGAAAUCGUGCUGAUAGUGCAAUGGCAAAAGCGUGCUUGACUGCGAGACCGACAAGUCGAGCAGAUACGAAAGUAGGUCAUAGUGAUCCGGUGGCUCUGCAUGGAAGGGCCAUCGCUCAACGGAUAAAAGGUACUCUGGGGAUAACAGGCUGAUACCGCCCAAGAGUUCAUAUCGACGGCGGUGUUUGGCACCUCGAUGUCGGCUCAUCUCAUCCUGGGGCUGUAGCCGGUCCCAAGGGUAUGGCUGUUCGCCAUUUAAAGAGGUACGUGAGCUGGGUUUAAAACGUCGUGAGACAGUUUUGUCCCUAUCUGCCGUGGGCGUUGGAAGAUUGACGGGGGCUGCUCCUAGUACGAGAGGACCGGAGUGGACUCACCUCUGGUGUACCGGUUGUCACGCCAGUGGCAUCGCCGGGUAGCUAUGUGGGGAAAGGAUAACCGCUGAAAGCAUCUAAGCGGGAAACCUGCCUGAAGAUAAGUCUUCCUGGAGGCUUUGACCUCCCUGAAGAGUCGUUCGAGACCAGGACGUUGAUAGGUUGGAUGUGCAAGCGCUGUGAGGCGUUGAGCUGACCAAUACUAAUUGCUCGUGAAGCUUGAUCC